rnacentral:rRNA from 1 species
CAGCCGCCACGGUAAAACGAAGGGGGCUAGCGUUGUUCGGAUUUACUGGGCGUAAAGCGCACGUAGGCGGAUCCUUAAGUCAGAGGUGAAAUCCCAAGGCUCAACCUUGGAACUGCCUUUGAUACUGGGGAUCUCGAGUUCGGGAGAGGUGAGUGGAACUGCGAGUGUAGAGGUGAAAUUCGUAGAUAUUCGCAAGAACACCAGUGGCGAAGGCGGCUCACUGGCCCGAUACUGACGCUGAGGUGCGAAAGCGUGGGGAGCAAACAGGAUUAGAUACCCGAGUAGUCCCUGUCUCUUAUAC